UCGAGCGGUAAGGCUCCUUCGGGAGUACACGAGCGGCGAACGGGUGAGUAACACGUGAGCAAUCUGCCCUUCUCUUCGGAAUAAGCGUGGGAAACCGCGUCUAAUGCCGAAUACGACCUCCUUUCGCAUGAUCGGAGGUGGAAAGCUCCGGCGGAGAAGGAUGAGCUCGCGGCCUAUCAGCUAGUUGGUGUGGGUAACGGCCCACCAAGGCGACGACGGGUAGCCGGCCUGAGAGGGUGACCGGCCACACUGGGACUGAGACACGGCCCAGACUCCUACGGGAGGCAGCAGUGGGGAAUAUUGGACAAUGGGCGAAAGCCUGAUCCAGCAACGCCGCGUGAGGGAUGACGGCCUUCGGGUUGUAAACCUCUUUCAGCAGGGACGAAGCGAAAGUGACGGUACCUGCAGAAGAAGGACCGGCCAACUACGUGCCAGCAGCCGCGGUAAUACGUAGGGUCCGAGCGUUGUCCGGAAUUAUUGGGCGUAAAGGGCUCGUAGGCGGUUUGUCGCGUCGGGAGUGAAAACUCAGGGCUCAACCCUGAGCGUGCUUCCGAUACGGGCAGACUAGAGGUAUGCAGGGGAGAACGGAAUUCCUGGUGUAGCGGUGGAAUGCGCAGAUAUCAGGAGGAACACCGGUGGCGAAGGCGGUUCUCUGGGCAUGACCUGACGCUGAGGAGCGAAAGCAUGGGGAGCGAACAGGAUUAGAUACCCUGGUAGUCCAUGCCGUAAACGUUGGGCGCUAGGUGUGGGGACCUUCCAAGGUCUCCGUGCCGCAGCUAACGCA
rnacentral:rRNA from 1 species